UGUUUUUGAGCACUUUGAUCUGGGUCCCUUAGUAGCCAGACGUGUGGCCUUCUGCUCAAUCAAUAGCAAUACCCUCCAUCUUUGGAUGUAAGUCAUUGGCUCUGGAGUGUCAGCUGAUGCUGUCAGCCAAUACAUUGUCUUAUUAGGGAAACAAUGAUAGGUAUAACGGGACUUUAACUUGAAUCAUAUCUAUGAAGAGAGGCUGGACUAGGGGCACCCGGAGGGCAGGG